GGUUUGGGUCGUCUCUUGGGUGCCAUGAGGAGGUAUAGGGGUUUUGGGCGUGUCUUGGGGUGCCGUGAGAAGACAGAGGGGCUUUGAGCGUUUCUUGGGGUGCCGUGAGGAGAUAGAGGGGCCUUGGGCGGCUUCUGGGGUGCCGUGAGGAGACAGAGUGGCUUUGAGCGUCUCUUGGGGUGCCGUGAGGAGAUGGAGGGGUUGUGGGCUGCUUCCGGGCAGAUGUGAGAAGAUAGAGGCGCUGUGAGGGCACGGGGGGUCCGAGUAGCUGCUGUGGAUAGAGGGCAGCCGGCCCAGGGGGUGAGGCGAUAUCCCGCAAGGGGGGCAGAGCCCACAUGGGAAGACGAGGCAGUAGUUUUCCUGCUCUGGGUUUCCCCUUUGCCCCAGGCAGUGCAAUGCUUGGUUCCCAGAAGUACUGGAGUCCCUUACCCGCAGGACAGUAGGUUUUGGCGGACCCUGGUGUGUCUUCGUAGGAAGAGAACAAAGCUCUGAGUCAGCUGAGUUGGGAAACCCAGUGCUGCUCAAACACAUCUUGUGUAUUUCCCUCUUAAACAUGCACCUCUCCCUGCGGAGUCUGCACAGGGGCUCAAAGCAGCAGCUAGUGUCACUGGGGGUGGUGGGGUCCUGAACUUUGCCUGCAGCUGGUACGAAGGUAACAGUUUCUCUGUUGGUGAUGCUCAGACUUUCACCACUGCACUUCUGUAGCGUGGUGCUGUUGCCUGAGUUUUGAAGAUAAACAAGACUCCUGUGUGAAUACCAGCAGCAAGUAAAAUUGUAUCCUGCAUGCUCUGGCUUACAAUGGCCUUUGAAGUUAAUUUGUUUAAAGGAAUAUUUGUAGGUGGGUUAGGAUAAAAGGAGCUCUUUAUGAACCUGGCUAUCCGAGAUGCAGGAGUACUAAUUCCUGUAGGUGUAUGCUAUCUGCUGAGGCGUGGAAAGAAAGAAGAAAGUUGACAGUGUGUUUUCUUCCUCAGCUUGUAAAACAAUUUCACAGCAGACAGGAUUUGGCAGAGUACUGCCUCUCAGCCUCACAUCCCUCAGCCAGCCAAGAGCCAGCUUGGGCACUUGAAGGCAAGAGUGGAUUUAGCAACAGAAGUGCAUGUGGAGUCUGAAGCAUGAGGAGCAUCUGCUUUCUACACAAACAUCAUUCAAGGUUGGCAGCUGAGACACAGCAACCUUGGCUACGAUAAGGAGAUCUCCAAGUGGAGCACAGCUCUCAGCUUUCCUGUCAGACUUCUCUACAAUCAGUGCUAUCAAUCGGACACUGCAGUAAUGCUUCUUCAGUUUGAUUUGGGUGAAUUUAUUUAACCUUGUACAUGACAGGAAUUGCGCAGAGCUAAAGAGCAAGGGAGUGACAUUGACCCUCAUCUUGGAAUGCUGCUGGAAGAACAUGUCCUUGUCAGUGCACUGAGAUAGCUCUGAGCUCUGGGACUAACAGAGUGGAGGAAAGGUCAGGGGAAAAAGGUGUCUCGUCUGUUCUCCAAUCUCCCUCCUUUUGGAAAUAUUGCCAGAGUUUACACUGUGAAGAUGAAGUAAAUACUAAUAAAGCUGCCA
rnacentral:lncRNA from 14 species